GUGUAACUCAGACAGAUAUUUAUUAUAGAAGUGGAGAAGAUUGAUAAUGUACAAAAAGAAAUCAGAAAAAUUAUAAAUAGGAGACAUGAAAAAAGUGGUAAAUGAUUAUUGGGUUAAAACAAUUGAUUUGGGUUUUCUCUUUUACUUAUUGCCUUUUCAAAUUUCUUAAAGUUAUAAAAAAACCCAACCCCUCUUAACACAAUAAAAUCCCCCAAAACCACGACCAUCAUGGUAGCACAUUAUCACUAUUCAUCUAUUCUAACCAGCAACAACUAUCUAACUAAUCCAAAUAUUUAACUAUCAAGAGAAGAAAGAAGAAUAUCACAGUAACUGUACGGCACUUGGCAAUAUUUAAAGUUACACAUUCAGUUUAGUAAUAAUAAAGUUAAAUAUUCAAUUUGGAAACAAUAAAAAAAAAAUAA
rnacentral:misc_RNA from 1 species